AACCUCAGUCACACGUCAGGAUACGACUGCAUACGCGAGGCCGCCCAAAGCACAAACGAGCCUCCGCGCAGGCGCAAGCCGUCCCUCGCCCGUCCGCCCUUCCGCCCGUCUGCCCGUCACGCUCUUUGCCCCGCCCCGUCACCAGCCCCGCCGGCCGAUCCUCUGCAUCUUCCGCCCAGGCCGGCUUGGCCUCAGCCUGCGCUGCGCCCUCCCGGCCUGGGGCGUCGCUGCACCGGCCUCCGCCGCUGGGGUUGGGGGCGGGAGGCGGAGCUUAGGGGCGGGGGGCGGUGUUGCGGCGGUGUAGGGGCGGCAGGCUGAGGCGACGGCGUCGGUGGUCCCUGCGUGAUGGCCGCCUCGGUGUUCUGCUGCUUGCGGUGCUGUAGGGACGGCGGGACGGGCCACAUCCCUCUGAAGGAGAUGCCGGCCGUGCAGCUGGACACGCAGCACAUGGGAACAGAUGUCGUCAUUGUGAAAAAUGGGAGAAGAAUAUGUGGAACAGGAGGUUGUUUAGCCAGUGCACCUCUACAUCAAAACAAAAGCUACUUUGAAUUUAAAAUCCAGUCCACAGGAAUAUGGGGUGUUGGCGUUGCAACUCAGAAAGUUAACUUGAAUCAGAUUCCUCUGGGCCGAGAUGUGCACAGUCUGGUGAUGAGAAAUGAUGGGGCCCUGUACCACAACAACGAGGAGAAAAACAGGCUGCCGGCAAACAGCCUUCCUCAGGAGGGAGACGUAGUGGGUAUUACAUAUGACCAUGUAGAAUUAAAUGUGUAUUUGAAUGGAAAAAACAUGCAUUGUCCCGCAUCAGGCGUACGAGGGACGGUGUAUCCAGUUGUUUAUGGUAUGGUGAGCCGACAGAUCAAGAGAUGAUUGCCGUUGAAAAAGAUAAUUUCUUACAGUUCCCAAGAGAAGAGGGUACACCACGCCACACAGGGACACACAGGUGAAAAGGUGAAUUGAAAAAAGCACAAGGAAGAGCAUAAAGUGACCCAGAGACAGUGGGCCAUUGGACACAUGGGCCUGUCAAUCUGAAAGUCAAGGCUGAGGAAGAAUAUUAUCCAAAUCUGUAAAAUCAUGCAUCUACUCUGUGCCAAGCACGAGGCUGGGCUAGAGAUGCAAAGAUAAGUAAGACAGUCUCCUCCUUCAAGGAAGCACGUGACUCUGCUCAUGGCUCCAUAGCAAUUUUCCUCCACCAGCAAUAACAGAAGGAAAUUGACAGAGACUCGUCGUUUUUAGCAUCACAGUGAAAAUAUUUCAUGCUAAUAGUAGACUAGAAUCUUUGGGAUUUUUUCUACACACCUUCAUUUGGGGAAUUUGGAUUGUUAAAGAAAAUAUUUAAUUUGAAGAUCUCUUAUGUUCCUUCUGCAGAACUAAAUUUUUGAGAAGCAAUAAUUCAAAACUCUUUAUGCCAUUAAAAAUGGGGAAAAUAAAGAUUUAAAGGCAGCUCCAUACAAGCACAAGUGUUUGAGUAGUUAUUGUAAGAACUCUACCUUUGCUUUAAUUAUUUGAGAAACUGCUUCAAUCUUCAUUACAUAUUGAUUGUUUUAAAAUGACUACUGAUUCUGGUCUGAUAGGCAAGGCUUGGAGUAAAAAUGGACCUAACAUGUUAAGACAAAUGUAUUUUAAUCUGUUUUAAUGGCUGUUAAAUAUUGGCCAUUUUGGAUUUUGAGGUGAUCUGCAGUUUAGCUUCUCCCCGAUCUAUAUCUGGGUCAACAGAGUGUUUCCCAAAAUGUGUUCCAGAGAACCCUAGUUCCAGAAGACGUUAGUAGAUGUUAUACAAAAAUGGUUCAAAGGCCAGCUACUCUAGGAAACGUUAUGUCUAUUUACUAUAGGACUUCAGAGAACCAGCUGGUGACCAAGAGAGGGAGAUAGAGCUUGCAACAUCACCUAAAAAUUUAAUCAAAGAACUCUUUUUCUUAGGAACGGGGUGCUGUGCAAUACUUUGGCAAAUGCUUGUCUAGUGAAUUCCGGAAGGAAAAUAAUUGAGAGUUGGUUAUAGAUAUAAAUCCUGUAACUUGCUUCUGCAUUUCAGAGGGACCACAAACGGAGACAAAAUUAUUGGGCAUUAACUGUGUGCCAGGCACUGUUCUAAGAACUUUACACUCGUUCACUCAUUUGAAAUUCAGAACAACCUUGGGAGGUAGGUACCAUCAGCCCAUUUUAUGGAUGCUGAAACUGUCCAAGAAGUGGAGAAAUGAGGAUUCAAACCCACUCUUAACUACUCCACUAGAUGGCAUUUCGAGAAUCAGUUGUAGAUCUAACCUUCUCACAUCUGUCUACUCUCGCAACAGUGUUAACUGAGUUAACUGUUGUCACUUUUUAGAAUGUUUCCACGUCCUAUAGGGCUUAUACCCCUUCCAUACUCUUCCUAGAUUCUGAUAACUAUUUUCACUUGUGUUUUCUUCCAGAUAACCUGUAGAAUAAUUUGUCAAGUUCCAAAAAUAAAAUAAAACUUCUGUUGCGACUUUGAUUGCAAUUGUGUUAAAACCCUAAAAUAAUAUGAGAAGAAUUGACAUUUUAUGAUAUUCAGUCUUCCCAUCCAGGAAUAUGAUCUCCUUCAGUCCUCUUUAAAUCUUGGGUCUUCUUUCAUUUCUCAGGCCAUUUUAUAAUUCUCUUCAAGUGCAUUUUAACCAACUCAGACUCUCUCUAGAGAUGAACUUUUGGGGGAGGGACAGCCCUCCCAAAACCAUCUCAGUCCUCCUAUAAUGCUUUGGCUCCUCUCCUCAUCCCACGGAAAAGCAGCAGAAGCAAGAUAGCAGUUCAUUCCUACAGAUAUCCAGAAAUUAAUUGUUCCUAAUUUAGGAAGUGCCUACCUCACUAACGUGUUACCAGACAUUAUAAUUUUAUUUAAAUAUGUGAGGUUUCAUGGUGUGUAGAGAUGGAACUGACUCCAACAGUGAGUUCCUAAAUAAUUUUCUCAGCCUCUGCUCUGAGUAAAGACCCAGCCCCAGAGAGUGAUUGAAAGGGAAGCUUUUCUGCCAGGCUUUUCAUAGGGAAACAGGAAAACCCCAAGAAAGGGUUCCCUCCAUCAGUACCAUGUUCAUUUCCAUCGCUGGGUCACUGCUUGAUGGAUAGAAACCAAAUAAUAGUUUUACCAUCCACGUAGAGAGCACAGAGCCAAGACUGGGAAUGAGAGAGUGAGUCCUUUAGUUUGUCUCAUCUAUAAGGAAGAGGUGUGGAUGCUUCAGCAUCGUUACACACCUGCUAUUUCGAGGUUCCUAAAAUAAACAUCUUCCAGGACAAGAAGAGCUAUUACAUGCUCUAUUCAAUUCUCUAUUCAUUAUUGAGGCAAUAAAUCGCACACAAAUAAACUCAAGUGGCUUCUUCGUCUUUGGAGGGACAAAAAAAAAAGUGGUUUAUACUGAUGGCUCAGGAUGCAUUGGACUAGACUGAGGAAGAAUCUGGCAUUUUUACUAAUGGUGUGUGACUCCAGGUGUGCUCCUAGGAGGAAGCUCUAAAAUUUUGUGAUCUUCUUAGUUGGUUCCAGUGGCUGAGCCACCAUCAUCUCUGCCUCAGACCACUGCAGUGGUCUCCCUACAGGACAUCACAUCGAUUCCUGCCCUGUGAGAGAAGAAAUAAAUAUCUGAUGUGUCUCUUAAGCCCUCAAUUCAAUCUGUUGACUAUAAUAGGAACUUGGUUCAAUGUGAUUAAGAGGAACAAACACUAUUCUGGUUAUUACCAGAAAGAAACAUUUUCACAAAUGUGUUUCAGUUGGGUCUGACCACUAACUUUUGCCAAGCCUCUCCUGUGGAAGUGUCAGGCUCUGGGCUGGCCCUGGGUAUGGAGGUAGCUUGAGAAGAAGUGAUGUUCUCUGCCUCUGAGUUGCUUACAGAGUCACUGGGACUAGAGACUCAAAAAGAGGUCAUUAUGGGGUGGUGGUACAAAGAAAGGGUAACGGGAACACAGAGGCGAGCAAUUAGCUUUUCCUUUCUUGGGGUCUGGGGAGGAAUAGAACUGGGUUUUGAGAGCUAAACAGGGGCAUCUUAUCCUCAACAGGGAGACAUUCCAAGCAGAGGAGACGAUGUGCACAGGUGCUGGGCCUGGUCAGGGGACAGUGAGCCGUGAGAGAACAUUCUCAAUUAAUGAAGAGCUUUUAAAAAGGAAAAAGCUUGGAGACUCACGGUGAACUCCUGUCUUCCUCGUUUGUAGCGUGUCCUACCUUCUCUAACGACUGUCAGAGUGAAGGCUGGACUUUGAGCUCGCUCUUUUAGUGUUGAGGGUAUCGGGGAAGGGUAUCAUUAUUCUUAGAUGCAACGUCAGAGACUGCUGGUUGUCCCUCAAGAUCUGCUCUGUUUUACUCUUAUUUAGUAACAGAAUCUUCCAUUUUUAGCCAACCACAUGGCUAUAGGGAAGAAUGACAGUAUUUCCCAGCCUCAUUUGCAGCUAGGUACGACUGUGUUCCUAAGUUCUUCUGGCCCACGGGCUGUAAUUUCCGGGAAGUGUCCUUAGAGGGCGAGAUGUGUGCCUUCCUCCUUCUGAAUUCUAAUGGAAUGAGAAAGUAGAGCCCCAGAAACCACUUUCAACCAUGAAGUGAUCUCAAGAAUGGAUGCUAAGUACAGCAGAGCCACAAAAUAGAAGGUUUCUUGUCCCUGUCACCAUGGAACUGCCAUACCAGCUCUGGACUGCUUGCUACCAGACCUAUACAUUAAAGGAAAUAAAUUUC